UACGUAGGGUGCGAGCGUUAAUCGGAAUUACUGGGCGUAAAGCGUGCGCAGGCGGUUCGUUGUGUCGGUGGUGAAAGCCCCGGGCUUAACCUGGGAAUGGCCAUGGAAACUGGCGAACUGGAGUGUGGCAGAGGGGGGUGGAAUUCCGCGUGUAGCAGUGAAAUGCGCAGAUAUCAGGAGGAACACCGGUGGCGAAGGCGGGUCUCUGGGCAACAACUGACGCUGAGGAGCGAAAGCGUGGGGAGCGAACAGG
rnacentral:rRNA from 1 species